CCACUACUCCCUCCGUCCGAAAAAGCUUGUCCCUCAAAUGGAUGUAUCUACCACCAAGUUAGUGUUAAAUUCAUCCAUUUGAGGGACAAGUUUUUUCAGACUGAGGGAGUACUAC
rfam:Triticum aestivum genome assembly, contig: Triticum_aestivum_CS42_TGACv1_scaffold_212099_3AS